rnacentral:rRNA from 1 species
UACGAAGGGGGCGAGCGUUGUUCGGAUUUACUGGGCGUAAAGGGCGCGCAGGCGGCUCAUUUUGUCAGGCGUGAAAGCCCCGGGCUUAACCUGGGAACUGCGUUUGAUACGGAUGGGCUAGAGUUCGGGAGAGGAGAGUGGAAUUCCCAGUGUAGAGGUGAAAUUCGUAGAUAUUGGGAAGAACACCGGUGGCGAAGGCGGCUCUCUGGACCGAGACUGACGCUGAGGAGCGAAAGCGUGGGGAGCGAACAGG